CGGAUCGCAGGCUGCAACUCGCCUGCGUGAAGUUGGAAUUGCUAGUAAUCGCGGAUCAGCAUGCCGCGGUGAAUACGUUCCCGGGCCUUGUACACACCGCCCGUCACACCAUGGGAGUUUGUAACACCCGAAGUCAGUAUCCUAACCGCGAAGGGGGGGAGCUGCCGAAGGUGGGAUAAGCGACUGGGGUGAAGUCGUAACAAGGUAGC
rnacentral:rRNA from 1 species